GCCAGGCAUGGUGGCGUGUGCCUGUAAUCCCAGCUACUCAGGAGGCUGAGGCAGGAGAAUUGCUUGAACCCAGGAGGCGAAGGUUGCAGUGAGCUGAGAUCAUGCCACUGCACUCCAGCCUGGGCAACAGAGUGAGAAUCUGUCUCAA
rnacentral:SRP_RNA from 2 species